rnacentral:rRNA from 1 species
UAGGGAAUCUUCCACAAUGGACGCAAGUCUGAUGGAGCAACGCCGCGUGAGUGAAGAAGGGUUUCGGCUCGUAAAGCUCUGUUGUUAAAGAAGAACGUGGGUAAGAGUAACUGUUUACCCAGUGACGGUUAUUUAACCAGAAAGCCACGGCUAACUACGUGCCAA